UACGUAGGGUCCAAGCGUUAUCCGGAAUCACUGGGCGUAAAGGGCGCGUAGGCGGCCUGAUAAGUCGGGGGUGAAAUCCUGCGGCUUAACCGCAGGGCUGCCUUCUAAACUGUCAGGCUAGAGCACAGUAGAGGCAGGUGGAAUUCCCGGUGUAGCGGUGGAAUGCGUAGAGAUCGGGAAGAACAUCAGUGGCGAAGGCGGCCUGCUGGGCUGUUGCUGACGCUGAGGCGCGACAGCGUGGGGAGCAAACAGG
rnacentral:rRNA from 1 species